rnacentral:lncRNA from 1 species
GUUCGCUGUGCGCGUGGCCGGCCCCGCUCCGUGUCUCGGCUUCCCCGCCCCGGGUUCCGGCUCCGGCGAGCUCCGAAAAGCUGUCGACCUCAAGGGCAUCAAUAUUUCAGACAAUUUUAUCCAAGACAUAGACACACCCAUUGGAAGUACUCUCCCCCAUCUUGAAAGCAAAGGAGGGAGCUCCAACAGAGCCCACUUCCAAACAAUCAUCUAGGCCUAGAAUGGAGCCAGAUCUUCCUGUGGAAAAGGAGGGAACAAACUUCAGCAGAAGGAAGAGAAAGGUAGGUUUGAUUAGCCUGGGAGAACCCAGUUGAAAUUUUCUAGUGGAGCUGUCCAUCUGUCCACUCC